rnacentral:lncRNA from 1 species
AUCUCUGCCCGACGCGCAGACGCAGGCUUUUCUUGGCUAGUUCAUUGAUGUUACUCACUCACUCGCGUCGCACCAAGCCUAUGUAAAAUGUAUCUUUUAGCAAUCAUUAUAUUCAUCAUAAUUUCCACCUAUGGCUCUUGGGUGACACCGGAAGAAGUGACAGCUGAUUCAGGAAGCGCCACGGAUGACCCCGACUUUUGUACCACAUGGUGCAAUAACGAAGAACGCCAAGACGACGAGAACCCCGAUCAACCACAACCAUGCAGCAAUUUUUACAAAUACGUGUGUGAAAACGAAAAGCGCGAUGUGGCGGUAGUUUCUGAUGAUUAUUAUGAAGAAACGGAAAUUCAAGAAAGCCAUUUAGAAACAGAAGUAAUACAGAAAAUUCGAGAUAUUUUAGAGAAGGAAGAAAAUGAUAACGGAACACAAGACUCGGGAACACCUAUUACGAAUGAAGUGAAUAUUCAUCAUAUUGCGAAGAAAAUUUACGCCGCCUGCAUACAAGGUA